GGAGGAGGUGUAACGUUAAUGGAGGAGGUGUAACGUGGAUGCAGGAGGUGUAACGUGGAUGCAGGAGGUGUAACAUGAAUGGAGGAGGUGUAACAUGGAUGCAGGAGGUGGAACGUGGAUGGAGGAGGUGUAACAUGGAUGCAGGAGGUGUAACAUGAAUGGAGGAGGUGUAACGUGGAUGCAGGAGGUGUAACGUGGAUGGAGGAGGUGUAACGUGGAUAGAGGAGGUGUAACGUGAAUGGAGGAGGUGUAACGUGGAUGCAGGAGGUGUAACGUGGAUGCAGGAGGUGUAACGUUAAUGGAGGAGGUGUAACGUUAAUGGAGGAGGUGUAACGUGGAUGCAGGAGGUGUAACCUGGAUGCAGGAGGUGUAACGUGGAUGCAGGAGGUGUAACGUGGAUGCAGGAGGUGUAAC